CUGCCCUUAGGUGGAGGAUACCCUCGGGAAACUGAGAAUAAUACUCCAUAGGAUUAGGAUGCUGGAAUGCAUCUAGGCUCAAAGCUCCGGCGCCUAAGGAUGAGUCUGCGGACUAUCAGGUAGUAGUCAGGGUAAUGACCUGACUAGCCUACGACGGAUAUGGGUUGUGAGAGCAAUAACCCAGAGAUGAUAUCUGAGACACGAUAUCAGGCCCUACGGGGCGCAGCAGGCGCGAAAACUUCACACUGUGCGAAAGCACGAUGAGGGAAUCCCAAGUGCUUGCUCGUAAGAGUAAGCUGUUUUUAUGGUUAAAACGCAUAGAGAGUAAGGGCUGGGUAAGACGGGUGCCAGCCGCCGCGGUAAUGCCUGCAGCUCGAGUGGUGAUCGCUAUUAUUGGGCCUAAAACGUUCGUAGCCGGUUUAAUAAAUGCCUGGGUAAAUCGUGUAGCUCAACUAUACGAAUUCCGGGUAGACUGUUAAACUUGAGACCGGGAGAAGUUAGAGGUACUCCUGGGGUAGAGGUGAAAUUCUGUAAUCCUAGGGGGACCACCGGUGGCGAAGGCGUCUAGCUAGAACAGGUCUGACGGUGAGGGACGAAGCCCUGGGGCGCAAACCGGAUUAGAUACCCGGGUAGUCCAGGGUGUAAACGCUGCUUGCUUGAUGUUAGUUGGGCUCCGAGCCCAAUUAGUGUCGGAGAGAAGUUGUUAAGCAAGCUGCCUGGGAAGUACGGCCGCAAGACUGAAACUUAAAGGAAUUGGCGGGGGAGCACAGCAACGGGUGGAGCGUGCGGUUU
rnacentral:rRNA from 1 species